GGCGCCCCUGAAAGAAGCAAAAGUAUUUAGAGACAAAUUCAAAUGAAGAAUUAAUUCUAUGAAGCUGUCCAUUUGAGAAGAAUGUGAGUUCAAACUUCAGCAAAUUAAUGGAAAUUGUGCAAAAUCCCACCCCGAUCAUCUCUUGAUUUAUUGUCAGAGUGUUUACAAGUGGUCUCUUAAUGAUGAUUUUGUUGUUUUUAGCUAAAAUAAAAAUAAAAAACAGUCUUUUUCUAGGAUAUAGCUUCUGCAGAGCAGCAGGAGUUCAUUAGAUCGAUUUGUGGGAGUAAGCCUGCCCCCACUUCCCAUCACCCAUUUGUUUGCAAUCUCUCCUGCUAGCUUACAGCCCCUCACAACCCCAAUCUACUGGUGCAAAAAAAAGUGGCGAGCAAUGUCGUACAGUUUUAGCCAGAUUCCAGCUCAGACCAGGAAAACAAAGACGUUCAUGGAUCUAUUUAUCUGUAAGUGGAUGAAGCUUCAAAACAAAUAAGUUCUUUUUUAAACUGCAUUUUUCCCUCUGCUCCUGAUUUAUAACAAUUUUAAUAAAAUAAAUACUAAAAAAUGUAAUUUUAAGCGUAAUUUUCCUUAUUAAUGUCACAAGAACGUGUUUAAAACACUUUUUAAAAAAAAUCAGAGUGAGUGUUUAAAAGGAGAAUUAUUAAGAGCUAAUUCUUGUAAAUCUUUUUAGGCAAACAAGAUUUUUUUUCCUCCAAAGAGGAACAAAGAGUGUUGGUGGAAGCUGAGGGUUUCGAGCUGUUUAUGACGCACCCAGUACAGUAUAAUUAGACUGUGAGACUUUACAAUGUUUACCCAAGCAAUCAGGCUUCAUUUGAGUCUACCCUUCUGAGCCCAUCCGGCCUCCCCUGAUGGAGGUUUUCUAAAGUGUCUGAGCUUUCCUCAACGUCUCUCCAGGAGAAGCAGCUUUUCCAAAGUGGACAGACUGGUUUUCCACUCACUGUUGUCAUAGAUGGGCUGUGACACGACGGGCUCCAGAGGAUACAACUCCCCUGUGGGCAGCGUGAUCUUGGCCUGGAAGCAAAGCCGCACCGAAUUCAGGACAAGUCAUCAAACUGGGUCACAGAGAGAUGGAAUUACAGCUGAAAGUGCCAUUAUUGAGAAGCAGCUCCUGCAGAAGUUCACCGUUCUGUGAGAAUCUGUGAAUGAUCUCAUGAACCAGACAUGGAGACAUUAUGCUAUUUGAAAAUAAACAAACCUGAUCUCUAAA